GUUCAAAGACUAGACAGAUUUGGGCGGGUCAAUGAAGUCCCGGAUGUUGCAUGGCAACACAUCAGGUUGUGUGUAUUGACCUGACCGUCUCUUGUGUUUAUAUACUGUUUGACGUUGACACUGCUGGCAGCAGAUCCUUCCUGAAUUGGCUCAUGGUCACAGCACACAAUUGAAGCUGCACAAAGGGCAAUCACUGUGAAGAUUCCUAGGUCGACAGCAGAAUCAGUAGGACAUGCUUUACUCUGCGUAGAUCACUACGGGAGACUAACUGCUGGGGUGUGGUGCCUCCAAAGAAUAGAAACUUGUCCAUAACUUUCUUACGCAAGGGUGUGGAAGAAAAUAGAAAAUACUGGACUGUCGGCAAGGCACUGCCACUGUUAACAUACAAUUAGAAUUGUUGCUGUCUUCUACAAUUGAGAAUAUACAGACCUGUUGUCUUGUCUGCUGACUACAAGAUUAUGUAGUGGUUCUCCCUAGCUCCUAAGGUUAUUCUUGCAGCUGUUUGUGGCCUCUUAUGGGUCUGCACAUUACUCCUUAUGGCUCUAAGGUACAAUUUGCUUCUUAGUGAGACUUUAAUUAAACAAAUACG